rnacentral:rRNA from 1 species
GAUGAACGCUGGCGGCGUGCCUAAUACAUGCAAGUCGAGCGAACGGACGAGAAGCUUGCUUUUCUGAUGUUAGCGGCGGACGGGUGAGUAACACGUGGAUAACCUACCCAUAAGACUGGGAUAACUUCGGGAAACCGGAGCUAAUACCGGAUAAUAUUUUGAACCGCAUUGUUCAAAAGUGAAAGACGGUCUUUCUGUCACUUAUAGAUGGAUCCGCGCUGCAUUAGCUAGUUGGUAAGGUAACGGCUUACCAAGGCAACGAUGCAUAGCCGACCUGAGAGGGUGAUCGGCGACACGGGAAGUGAGACACGGUCCAGACUCCGACGGGAGGCAGCAGUAGGGAAUCUUCCGCAAUGGGCGAAAGCCUGACGGAGCAACGCCGCGUGAGUGAUGAAGGUCUUCGGAUCGUAAAACUCUGUUAUUAGGGAAGAACAUAUGUGUAAGUAACUGUGCACAUCUUGACGGUACCUAAUCAGAAAGCCACGGCUAACUACGUG